GUGCUCGCCUCGGCAGCACAUAUACUAAAAUUGGAAUGAUACAGAGUAGAUUAGCAGAGCCCCUGCGCAAGGAUGACAUGCAAAUUCGUGAAGCAUUCCAUAUUUUU
rnacentral:snRNA from 1 species